UGCCCAGUAAGACCAUAAGGAUUAGGCCUUGCCAGGAGGCAAUGCUGUCCCGAACUUACAAGGGAAUCAUGUUCUAUAUUCCCAAAAUCCCACACUAAUCAUACAAAUUGGAUUCCUUCAGGAAUAUAAGAUACUCAACUGCCAUAUUUGAUUCAAAUAAAUCUGUCUAAGGCCUGAACAAUGGAUAGUGAAGGCCACUGUUUCUUCGCACCCUAACAAAGCACAAGUCUCGGUAACUUGCCUAUAAUAACACCAUCUAAAAAGAUAAAGAUACAGAAUGCACGCAAAGAAAGAGCCAGACCUACGUAACCAGUCAAUUCAAGUUCGUUUCUAUAAAUCAAGAUACUUACUUUGGUUCUCCGUUUGGGAAAAUUCUCGACCAGUUUAACUGAGAACCCUCUAGUAGACUCAUGUGUACUCUAUAUUUGGUUAAAGAACUUCCAAUAGUUUUAAGCGCAUUGAAUCAUGCAGCUACUACCAACCGUUAACGAGAUCCGUGUUAUAUACAGAAAACAAAGAUAUACAAAACCAC
rnacentral:lncRNA from 1 species